UUAAUUUUCAGUACAUUAAACAUAUUACAUUAAGCUUAUAGCUUAUAUCAGCUUCACGUACCCAGAGGAAGUCGGCGGCGGUUUCCUUUACCGACUCCGGCGACGGCGGAAAACCAUCUCCGACGGCAAUUAUGGGUAAGAAAUCAUCGAGGAAGAAUGGAGUUGGUAAAGCACCUGGUUCAAUUACAUUAAGAGAAGAAUCAGGUGUGAAGAAGAAACAAACUCAUGUUAAUGCGAAAUCGAUGCUGAAAUUGGAGCAUAUAAAGGAUAUUGCUACCUGGGCUAGUGGCGAAGGUUCCAUACCUUCACUUGGUGCGUUUUUUGGGCAGAGAUUAGCUGUAUCAGCUGAGUCUUUGGGUGUUCCACCUGACCCUUCAUUAUUUACUUGUCAAAGGUGUGAAUCUAUCCUUCAGGCUGGCUACAAUUGUACAGCACAGAUUGAGAAGAACAAAAGAAAGGCACGAAAGAAAUGCAAGACAUCCGGUAUUCCCCCGAAGAAUUCAGUUGUAUAUGAGUGUCAUUUCUGCUCACAUCGGAAUCUAAAGAGAGGAACCCCAAGAGGCUAUAUGAAAAGCCUAUAUCCUGCUAAACCAAAAACUUUAACAGUUGAUCCUGCUAAAUCAGCAACCCCAAAGGCAAAAGUUGAUCCUACUGAAUCAGCAAUGCAAAGAUCUGAACAUUUGGGCACUUUAGUGGCUAGUAUCGAUAAGGCAAAAGUUGAUCCUACUGAAUCAGCAAUGCAUAAGUCUGAACAUUUGGAUUUGUCAGUGGCUAGUACUGAUAAGGCAAGAGUUGAUCCUACUGAAUCAGCAAUGCAAAAGUCUGAUCAUUUGGAUACGUCAGUGGCUAGUAUUGAUAAGACAAGAAUUGACGCUACUGUAUCAGCAACCCAAAAGUCUGAACAGUUCGACACUUUAGGGGGCAGUACCACAGAUGUAAUAGUUUCAUCUGAACUAGUUGGAGAUGAUCCUAUGGCUGGUCCGGCAACUCCAUUGUCAACAGGUACGGUUACUUCUCUGUUGGAUUCAAAGAAAAGGAAAAGAAAUAGAACAGGGUCCAAGAAGAAAGCUGAACCUCAGGAUGGUUCAUCCAUGACAGAUGCUGAGAAGACUGUCUCAACAUCCAGUAAGAGAAAGAAGAAGUCUUGGACUAGUUUGAAGGAAAUUGCUGAAAGUCAGAGUAGCAAUAGUAGGAAGUUCACCAAUAUAUCUGUUCCAUUUAUUCUUAGAUUGUGAGAAUUGUAUUUUGCCCGUAGAGCACCCCCUUUUUGGGGGUUUUCAAGCCCGGUGUCCGGAGCUCAUAUUGGCGCGCUUUGUUCUCUCGAAUCUCCUCUUCGUCGUCAUGUCUGCUUCCGCAGAGGGGUAAGUUUGUCUUUUCAUGUGCUGCUUUUGUGUGUCUUCUCCAACACUCCGCAGCUGGCCUAACUAUACAGGAAUACGUCCUAACUACUACACCGCCACACAAUAACUACAAGUAGAUCAGUAUACACAAAGCUUAUCAGAUUUUCUGGGUGGUGCUCCUUUUUGCUUCGCUCAAUUCGACAAAUUUUUCAGCCACUCGGUGCUCUGAGAAGCUGUAUAACUAUUAUACCAUUGAAAAGAAGGGAAAUCCAUUGCUAAAGCAUGCCAGGAAUGUGAAACGAACUUCUUCUGCUCUUUAUUUGAGGUUUGAAGGGAUACUGAUUUCAAUUAAUUUGCAUAGCCUCCGGCAUCAUCCACUUCAUCCAGACUCCCUGCUCUAAUGCCUCCCCGCCACUCCAACUCGCAAAAACAGAGGUCUUCUAAAGGGAUGGUACGUAAUCUUUCGUUACUGAAUUUCUCUCCUGCUCUCUUAACUUUAAUUUAUUGCUCAAUCCUCCCUAUUUCAUAUGCAUAUAUUUAUCAGAAAAUGGUCAAAAAGACCUUCAAACUAUUCAAUAUAGCUCAUACUUAUCCCUCUUAGUUUACGAAUGAGAGAAAUUAUAUAGUAUUCAAAUCAAAUUAAAAGACUAUGCCUCUUAAGUUUGGGGUCCUUCCUCUUAGGCUCUUACAUAUACAAUAUAGGUGCUUUCAUGCUGCCUUAAUCAGACAACUGAGCUCAAUACCCCAGGAGUCCUAUGCUUGUACAUCUAAAAUAUCACAUUACCCACUCUUAGUUUUGUAGAGUCAAAAAUUACCGGCAAGUAGACGAAGCGCAGGGAAGUGAAACCCAUGAAAACUAUGAAAAUUGUUCACGACUCCUUAUCUGAAAGCAGAAACCAGAGCACGGGAACCAAUGGAAAGCAAGAAUGACCAAAUUGUCAUGUGAUGUAUCAGCCAUGUCAACCAUGAGACCUACAGAAAACACCCAAAUUCAGUUAAAAAACGCCAAAUAUCAUGCAUGAGAAAACAAAGCUAAACAUUAUGCUAUAGGAAGGCUUAUUCUUGUAGAUUAGUUUACUCAACACUGUGAAGUGGUUUAAAAUGUUACUUAUACUUUUCAAAGUUGUUUAACUUCAAAGUUGUGUAUCUAAAUUGAAUGGUCAGUUUUUUUGAGACAUCCAUCAUACAAAUUGUGAUGGUAGGAGUAGUAAUUUGUACUUUCACUGGUUGUGAUCAAUACUAAACCUUAUCAUGCGAAAA